rnacentral:lncRNA from 1 species
UUUAAAAAUGUACUCCGUUCUCCAACUCCUGAAAUGCCUCUGCAGUUGCUGGAGAAAAGGGCCCGAAGGUCGCCGUUUUCAAACAGAAGCUGCCGUGUGUGCGCGCCCGGCAUGGUCUCCUCAUCCCGCCGGGGCCAGUGAGGCUCUGGGGGCUUUGCCCCCGCCGCGGCAGCUGGUAGAGAAGAGACGUGUUUCACCUCCCCGACGUCUGGACCAGUCUGGAAGGGAUGGAGGCGCUGUGGCCAAGUGCAGUCUCUCUCGGGGUCUCUCCCCGCCCGGGUGGACAGGGCGCUCCCUCCUCCGCCCCUGGGGCUCAGCAGCAGUCCUGGGCAGCCGUGCGGCCCUCGCCUGCGUCCUGCGGCCGUCCCGCGGUGUCAUGCCGGCAACAAUACAAAGUCGUCGUUGACGUCGACCAUGGGCACGUAGAAGGAGGGCACCUCGUUCACGCACAGGGACUUGUGCCCGGCGGGGUCCAGUUCCUGCACCUUCAGCUGCCACUCCAUCCUCUGCACGGCGUUCAGGGCCGCGGCCUCGUGCUGCUGCCGCAUGAGGAGGAAAGUCUUCCAUGUGUCUUUAUGAAGCUUUCAGUUUUUUCUCACGGCUCUGGUUAGGAAGGGCCUAGUGGCCUGGGGAGGGUGUGGUGUGAGUGACUUCCUGCACCAUCAUCUUAGGGCUGGCCAGAAAUGCACACUCAGCUACGCCUCAGACCUGAGUUCCUCAGCACAAGCCCCCAGGGGCCACGCUCCCCAAAUACCCACAGCUCCCACCGGGUAGGGCUGGUGGUUCUCAUCUGUGCCCACAUCAGCACCUUUCUGAGAGCUGCAGUAUGACACACGGGUGCUUGGUUCAGGGACCUGGGUGGUGCUGAGCCUGAUACUGCAGGUAGCCGGGGCCGCCUGCUCCCAGGCCUGGCUGGUGACUGUACAGGGUGACGCUGACUGUAAAGUUCUGUAACUUUUGGCAAGUUUCCGCCUUCCGUUGCCUCCUGGUGGAUCCUCCAGGGUGUCCCGGUGAGCAGCCCUCGCGACCGGGAUAAGGGUGUGCUGCCCUUCCCGGCACCUCCCCCGCCCCUGCCCACCGCCCUGGCCAGCACUUCCAGAGCAGUGGAGGGUGAAUGCUGGGACCUUAGAGGGGGCUCACAGGGCAGUCCCAGGAGUUCUGACCAUCAAGCCUAGGGUCCUGUUGAGCUGGCGACAGGAGCCGCUCCCUGCACACCGGGACAGAAGGGAAGACUGAGGAGGCCACACGCAGGGACAGGACCUCACCUCCCCGAAAGCAUCGGCCAGAUUAAGAGAAUCUGAAAUUGUCACCGCCCAUCACAGAACUGGGCAGCGGCCUCCCCCCAGGCAGCGCAAAGGGGGUUGUCACCACCCAUCACAGAACUGGGCAGCAGCCUCCCCCAGGCAGAACUGAGGGGACGCGCAACACCGACCUUCAUGCGGUCAUACUUGUCAUCCACGUCCUGGAGCCAGGAGAUGAACUGGCGGGCGUUGAAACGGUCGCGCACUGACUUGUUCUCGUCACCCUGUGGAAACCAAACACGGGAGUUUCAUCAGGAGCCCCAGAGACCGCUACGGGAAGGCAUGCCAGCCUGGGCGAUGCUGCAGUGACCGUUCUCAAGGGACAACCACAGGGGGAGCCUCAUUCCACCGCGCACACACUGAAUCAUGUUCAAGGCAUGGCAGGCGCACCCUGCCCAUCUCCCUAAACAGCCUCCCUAAAAUGCGCGUGGAGGCAGCUGGGCCUUUGUCUCCUGGGCACCGGGUGCCCGCAGGCCCCACCUGUGAGCCGGUCCCCAGCCCUGCCCCCAGGGGACAGUCAGAGCUCAGCCCACUGCCAACUCCUGGGAGAGACUUUUUUUUUUUUUUUUAAGAGACAGAGUUUCGCUUGUUGCCCAGGCUGGAGUGCAAUGGCGCGAUCCUGGCUCACCGCAGCCUCCACCUCCAGGGUUCAAGCGAUUCUCCUGCUUCAGCCUUCCUGAGUAGCUGGGAUUACAGGCAGCCACCACGCCCAGCUAAUUUUGUAUUUUUAGUAGAGACGGGGUUUCUCCUGGGCGAGACUUUCUAGAUAUGUCACCGUCCUGUGUCCUGAAGGGUGGACACGGAUAAGAUGUCCAGGCUCCUCCCCUUUUUCACGGGUUCAUGGUGAAGCUGACAAUGCCGUCUGUUUCUCAGAACAUGUGGAGCACCGACAGAAACCCACACACCUGCAGGGAACUCACUUUCCACAAAGGUGCCAAGAACAGAAUAACGAUCACAGGGAAAGGACAGUCUCUUCCGUAAACGGUGCUGGGAAAACUGGCUACGCAUCGCAGAAGAGUGAAACGAGACCCUAGCUCUCGCCACAUACAAACAUCAAACCAAAAUGGAUCAAAGUCUGGAAUCCAAGACCUUAAACGAUGAAACCACUACAAGAAAACACUGGGGAAAAUCUCCAGGACAUUGGCCUGGGCAAACAUUUCUCAAGCAAUACCCCGAAGCACAGGCAACCAAAGCAAAAAUGGACAAAUGGGAUCACAUCAAGUUCAAAAGCUUCUGUCCAGCAAAGGACACAGUCAACAGGGUGAAAAGACACGCACAGAAUGGGAGGAAACGCCUGCAAACCGCUCCUGUCACACAGAUUCUCAAGCAGAACAUAGAAGGCAUGCAAUUAACUCGAUAUGAAAAAAUCUAAUAAUCCCAUCAAAAAAACGGGCAAAAGAUCUGAAUAGACGUUUCUCAAAGGAGACACACAAAUGGCCAACAGGCAUCUGAAGAGGAGCUCAACAUCAUUGAUCGUCAGAGAAAUGCAAUUCAAAACUACCGUGAGACAUCACUUCACCCCGGUUAAAAUAGCCUUUAUCCAAAAGACAGACAAUCACAAUUGCUCGCGAGGAUGUGGGGAAAAGGGAACCCUCGUACCCCGUUGGUGGGAAUGUAAAUUAAAACAGCCGCCGUGGAGAACAGUUUGGCGUUUCCUCAAAAAACUAAAAAUUGAGCUACCAUAGGAUCCAGCAAUCCCACUGCCGGGUAUAGACCCAAAAGAAAGAAACUGGGGGCCAGGCACGGUGGCUCACGCCUGUAAUCCCAGCACUUUGGGAGGCUGAGGCGGGCAGAUCACCUGAGGUCAAGAGUUUCAGACUAGCCUUGCCAACAUGGUGAAACCCCAUCUCUACUAAAAAUACAAAAAUUAGCCAGGUGUGGUGGUGCGCGCCUGUGAUCCCAGCUACCCGGGAGGCAGUGGCUGCAGUGAGCUGAGAUCGUGCCACUGCUCUCCAGCCUGGGUGACAGAGGAAGACUCAGAAUCACAAAAAGGAAAAGGAAUCAGUAUAUUGAAACGGUGUCCACACUCCCAUAUUUAACGCAACCCCAUUUACUAUAGCUAAGGCUUGUGUCCAUCAACAGAUGAAUGGAUAAAGAAUAUGUGCUACAUACACAACGGAGUACUAUUCAGCCACAAAAAAGAAUGAGAUCCUGUCAUUUGCAAACACGUGGAUGGAACUGGGGUCAUGAUGUUAAGUGAAAUAAGCAUACAAAGACAAACAUCACAUGUUCUCUCUCACUUGUGGGAUCUAAAAAUCAGAACAAUUGAGCUCAUGGACACAGAGUAGAACGACGGUUACCAGAGGCUGGGAAGGGUUGUGGGGGGCUGGCAGGGAGGUAGAAGUGGUUAAUGGGUACC